rnacentral:lncRNA from 1 species
GACACUGACACUGACACUGACACUGACACUCACACUCACACUCACACUCACACACACAUUCACACUCACACUCACUCACACUGACACACUCACACUCACAGAUAUAUAUAUUAUACAUAUAUGCAUGUUGUGUAUGGAUUGAUGUGUGUAUAUAUACGAUAUGUAUAUACUAAUAUGUUUAUGCCUGUUUUUGCGAUCUUGAUCUUGAAAACUUGAUUUGCUUAAUGGUUCUUUCUUCUUUAAUAUAGUACUUCUUCUUUCAUGCAAAUAAGAAGUGAAUUUUCUGGAGCUUUACUUGUGCUUUGCAAUUUUAUUAUGUAACUUUUCUUAACACACACACUCUUGCUUCUUUUAUGCAAAUAUGGAGUGAAUUUUUUGGAGCUUUACUUGUUGUUUCCAAUUUCAUUAAGUUACUUUUUCCUAACACACACGUACAUACACACACACUCACAUUCACACUCACACUCACUCACACUCAUACUUACACUCACACACACACUCACACGCGUACACACACUCACACUCACACUCACUCUCACACUCUAACACAGUCACAGUCACGAUCACAUUCACUAUCAGAGUCACACACACCCUUGCACUCACACACUCACACACACUCACGUGCACACACUCACACACACACUCACACUCACAACUCACACUCACACUCACACACACUCACAACUCACACUCACACUCACACUCACAUACACAACUCACACUCACACUCACACACUCUUAUUCACAUGCACACUCACAAACUCACACUCACACACACACACGUUCACACUCACACUCACACUCACACUCACACUCACACUCACAUUCACUCACACACACACUCAUACACGCUCACACAUACUCACACACUCACACUCACACUCGCACUCACACACACACACUUUCACACUUACACACGCACAUUCAUACACACUAACACACACUCACACAGAUUCACACACAUACACACUCACACUCACAACUUACACUCGCACUCACAGAUAUAUGCUACACAUAUAUGCAUGUUGUGUAUGGACUGAUGUGUGUAUAUAUACGAUAUGUAUAUACUUAUAUGUUUAUGCGUUUAUGUAUACAAUUGCUUGCUAUCAAUUAUAUAGAGGUAUCAAUGUAUAUAUACACUGAUAUACACACUCACACACGCACUCGCACAAAUAUAUAAGUAUGGGUUUGUAUAUACACUACUGUAUAAGACCAUGUAUAUAUACCUAUUAUCAGUGAUAUAUACAAUUUCUUCUUUCCCAAUUGUGAUAGUCCAUGUAAAUUUUUUUUCUUAUUUGUACUUGUUUUUAUUAAUAUUGAUGAGCUUCAUCUUCAUCAAGUUUUCUUGUAAAUUAAGAAGCAUGAAAGCAACUUAUCAUCGAGGCGGAUCUCUUUCCGUUAUUCGAUAUUUAAGAUCUUGAUCUUGAUCUUGCACCCUUGAUUUCCGUAAUGGUUCUUUCUUCUCUAGUAUGGUAUUGCUGUUUCGUCUUUCAUGCAAAUACGGAAUGAAUUUUAUAGAGCUUUACUUGUGGUUUGCAAUUUUAUUAAGUAAUGUUUUCUUAACACACACAAUCUCUUGCUUCUUUCAUUCAACUAUGGAGUGAAUUUUUUGGAGCUUUACUUGUCGUUUGCAAUUUUAUUUACUUUUUCUUAAUAUACACAGCCUGCACACACACACACACUCACACUCACACUCCCACUAAUAUAUAAGAAUGUGUUUGUAUAUACGCUUCUGUAUAAGACCAUGUAUAUACCUAUUAUCAGUGAUAUAUACAGUUAUUAACUCAAUUUGUGUAUGUAUUGAUGUAGAGCAGUACAUACCAUUGUUUUCAGGGUAUAUAUAUAUACUGAUGCAUAUAACCAUACAACACAUUAGUUAUUAGCUGUAUAUACAGUUACUAGUGUGUAAAAAUACAUUGAUAUGUGGGUGUGUGUGUGAUGUCUGUAUAUAUACAAUGUGUAUACACGUAUUUGUGUGUAUGUGUAAAGUGCAUAACGGUAAAUUUUCAGUGCAUUACUAUAUACAUUUCUAUAUAUAUUGAUGUAUACACUUAUUAUCAGUUUAUACAUUUAUUAAUGUAUAAUGUACACUGAUUUAUAUACUAUACACACACACACACACACAUGCAUUCAUACUCACACUCACACUCACACUUACACUCACACUCACACAUACGUACACACACACUCACACUCACACUGAUAUCGUACGUACAUGCACUUUUACGUAUUGAUAGUGCAUAUAUACAUUUCUAUAUACACUAAUAUGUAUGAUCAUAUAGAUACUUAUUAUCAGUUUAUACAGUUAUUAGUGUAUGUGUAUAUUGAAAUGUAUAUACAUACACUCAUAUGCAUAUGUAUAAAAUAUUUACACUAAUGUAUUAGACCAUGUGUAUACUUAUUAUCAGUGAUAUAUACAGUUAUUAGCUCAAUUUGUAUAUGUAUUGAUGUAUAGCAAAACGUACCAUUGUUUUCAGACUAUAUAUAUAUAUAUACUGAUGUAUAUAACUAUAUAAUACAUUACUUAAUUGCUAUAUAUACAAUUUCUAAGGUGUAAAAAUACAUUGAUAUGUGUGUGUGUGUGAUGUCUAUAUAUAUACGAUGUGUAUAUACGGAUUUCUGUGUAUGUAUAAAGUGCAUAACUGUAUAUAUAGAAUGCAUUAGUAUAUACAUUUCUAUAUACAUUGAUGUAUAUGACCAUCUAUACACUUAUUAUUAGUUUAUACCUUUAUUAACAUAUACGUACGUUGAUUUAUAUAUUACACACACACACGCUCUCAUACUCACACUCACACUCACACUCACACACACUCACACUCACACUCACACUCA